AAUGCAUAAACAACAAGGGCAAUAAUAGCUGGAACUUUUCCGAUGCCAAAUAACGGAAUGAAGAGUCCAAGCAGUGCAAGGGAAGGGAUUGUUUGCAGAACGGCUGUUAUACCGAUGAUCCCUUCAGCUACUUUUUUAUUUUUUGUUAAGUAAAUGCCGAGCGGAAUGGCGAUAAUGACAGCGAAAAAGAGAGCAAUAAAGGAAAUUUGAAUAUGUUCA
rnacentral:antisense_RNA from 1 species